rnacentral:tRNA from 1 species
CGGCUCAUAACAAGCGCCGGUACCGUGCCGGGUUUGAGGGAUACCGAGUGGUCGAUGGUUCGAAUCCGUCAGGGCCCA